rnacentral:rRNA from 1 species
AGCAUAUCAAUAAGCGGAGGAAAAGAAACCAACAGGGAUUGCCUCAGUAACGGCGAGUGAAGCGGCAACAGCUCAAAUUUGAAAUCUGGCUCCUUGCGGGGUCCGAGUUGUACUUUGCAGAGGGUGGUUCGGCAACGGCGCCUGUCUAAGUUCCUUGGAACGGGACGUCAGAGAGGGUGAGAACCCCGUACGCGGCAGGUGCCUGCGCCAUGUGAACCCCCUUCGACGAGUCGAGUUGUUUGGGAAUGCAGCUCUAAAUGGGAGGUAUAUUUCUUCUAAAGCUAAAUACUGGCCAGAGACCGAUAGCGCACAAGUAGAGUGAUCGAAAGAUGAAAAGCACUUUGGAAAGAGAGUCAAACAGCACGUGAAAUUGUUGAAAGGGAAGCGCUUGCAACCAGACUUGGCUGCCGCUGUUCAUCGGGGGUCCGUCCCCCGUGCACUCGGCGGCAGGCAGGCCAGCAUCAGUUGGGGCGGCUGGAGAAAGGCUCUGGGAAUGUAGCUCUCUUCGGGGAGUGUUAUAGCCCAGGGCGUCAUGCAGCCAGCCCCGACUGAGGUCCGCGCUUCGGCUAGGAUGCUGGCGUAAUGGUCGCAAGCGGCCCGUCUUGAAACACGGACCAA